AGUGAACCCACCUCACACAUUAGUUCACGCCUUGCUUCCAUUCUCCCACCCAACACAUGCAAGCAAAGUUCCAGAGAGAAAAGAGGGGGUGUUUUGCCGACUGAAGUCGUGUCGUUCGUGACUUGAUUCGACGCUGCUAGAAUCAAUCCACUGCAAGGAGAACGAUAAUAGAGACGGACAGGAAGGGUACUACAGUCUGGAGAAAUUUGGUACAGGACAGAUGGUUGCAGAAGAAGACAGACGCCCUAAGGAGUAGAAAUUAUCUUAGUACCCUUUUCGAAAUUUGGAUUAAUGUAAUUUAAAUUUCUAAAACUAUUUGGAUUGUAAUGACUUAAUUAUCCUCUUUAUUUAAAUAAAUGACAAACUAUGUUUUAAAAUUU